CGCCAUCGGCAAAUCACCUCUGUGUGUUGAGUGUUACUCUCUCCUUAGGGUCCUUUUAAAUAUAGCAUUCCUGAGAUUGGUUAGAGACUUAAUGUGCUACCAAUCUCUGAAAAAUCCUCCUGGUCUCCGUGCUUCCAAAUGGCCUCCCUCUCGCCCAGUCUCCAAAAUGCAACCAGAGGCUCUUUCUAAAAUGCAAAAUCAAAUUAUACGCUCACUUAAAGCUUCCCGAUCCUCUCACUGCUUUGUCUGGGAUGCCACGGUCCCUCUCUUCCCCCAGCAGCCAUGCCAUCCCCCCUUACCUUUACCUGCCCCUUUUCAGGGCUGCUUUCUAUGCACCCCAGAACCUGACCAGCUCCCCCUGCCUGUGUGCCUGGCUCCUCGCUCCCCACCUUGGAGGCCAGCUCCUCCUGCAGGACUCAGCGCAGUGGGCUCCUCCCAACCCAGUAGUGGGAGAGAGGAGGUGGUCUCCCCUCUCCCACUACUAGGGUGGCCUAGGUAGCAGGCCUGGGUCUCCCACUAACCUCCCCACGGUGUCCACGGCGCCUAGCACUACAACUACUCACAAAACGAUUGGGAAGGGAAUAAGGAGGGAGGAAAUAAACCGGGCACUUGAAUGGAUAUGGGGGAAAUUACUAAAGGAAGAGACAAAGGAGGAAAGGGGAGUGAGCUGUCCACCCUAUGGAUGCCGCAGGGUGUAGGGUCAGAGCUGUAUAGAGUAAUUCCAUUCCGGGUCUUCAGGAUGGCAAUUCUUUCUUUGCAAAACACCCUACCGUAGACAGUGGCUCUGGUCUAGGCUCCAGGCUUGAAGGGUCACUAGAAAAUGAAAGGAUGAUUCAACAAACUUUCUUACCAAACGUCCUCUCUGUCUGGUAAUUCUCAAAAGACUGCAGUCGUAAUUCAGAAACAAUGACUCCGCUUCAGAAGUGAGGAUUAAAAAUAUUUCUCACUGGAAAUGAAAGUGCAUGUACCCCACUAUGAUGGGAAGACUAGCGAACCCCGGCCUUUGGGGGGCUGUCUCUCGAGAAGACGGCCUUUCUGCCAACUUGGAGUUGAAUCCCAAAGGAAGAUGAAGCAAACCUUGUUUCCACUGAGAUGUCUCUCUCUCCCCGCUCCUAGCCACUCUCUUUUUCUCUCCUGAGCCGGCCCCUCUUCCUUCUCCAUUCUGCCGGCUGCUCUUCAACGUGUCUCAGUGUCACCUGACUGAAGCAGAGCCGCAGGCUUGCUCUCACACAUGACUGCAAGCCCAGCUCAGGGAGCCCCUUGUCCCGUCUGGGUCAGCUGCCCUUGGCCUGCUUUUCUGCCCAAACCGUCCGUGAUGGACGAGAGUCUCAUUCCUGCCCUCCCCCGAGUGUCCUCAGGGCUGUGGACUGCUCCCAGGGGGCACCUUGUGACACAAGGAAUGAGGUGGAGUUGAAUCCCCUCGAACAUACAAAAAACAAAGCCAUCAUUUGACAAGGAUGAUGCUUUAACUGUCAUUAGUAAUAAACUACUUUUUGCUUUCCUUAAAACUCAGAAUGCAUCCAUGUAUUCUCCACCAGAGGCCUCUUAAAUUUCAACAUGCAGAGGAAACACCUUUGAAAAUGUGCUUUGAUGCUGUGCUUCCUUUGGUGAGGAAGAUGUUCAGGGACUCGCUGGGGCCAGGCAUGCCUUUAAAAAUACAAAAUUUUUCAAGGUUUUAGUACA
ensembl:lncRNA